UACAGAGGUCUCAAGCGUUGUUCGGAUUCAUUGGGCGUAAAGGGCGCGUAGGCGGCGCAACAAGUCACUUGUGAAAUCUCCGGGCUUAACUCGGAACGGUCAAGUGAUACUGUUGUGCUAGAGUGCGGAAGGGGCAACUGGAAUUCUCGGUGUAGCGGUGAAAUGCGUAGAUAUCGAGAGGAACACCUGCGGCGAAGGCGGGUAGCUGGGCCGACACUGACGCUGAGGCGCGAAAGCCAGGGGAGCGAACGGG
rnacentral:rRNA from 1 species